rnacentral:lncRNA from 1 species
GGAGGGAAUAUAAUUAGUGUUGAUAAAAAGCAUAUUGGGUUGGUGGUGUUUAUCUUCACCAAAUUGUUUAGGCUCUCAAGUGACCCCUAAGCAAUCUCUUGGCAGACCUGAAGAAUUGAUCUCCUAUUACUCUGUGGCUGUGGAGAAUUUGAAAGAAAUCUACAGUGAAGGAUUUGAAAAAGUACAGAGGGAGCACAUAGCUCUGGCCUUCAGCCCAGGUGACUUCAGCCUCUUUUGUCUUUAAAUGUGAUUUCUUUGAGGCUUUUACUGCUGCUAGACUUUUUUUUCUCUUCUCUUUGCAAGGAAAAAGGCUGCAUGAUUAAUUCUGCUUUCAACAUUGGAUGUGAAAGUCUGCUUAGAAAGCCCCUGCAUGGAAUGGCAGCAGAGAAGAGCAAGAAGUGUCUGCUUUUUGUGAGGAGGAACACAGUGUGCUGCUUCCCCUGCCACAGCCACUGAGCCCUCACCAGCAGCCAUUCAGCUCCUUGGCCUGUGAGCCUGCCAAGAUCCAGCAGUUAUCCCAGGUUCCAGCUGCCGUGCCUGGAGAUGUGAGAAUUGUGCUCAGGCUCAUUAAACCUGCAGGACCUGGGAGCUGUGCCCGUGGUGACAGCACAGACCAUAUUCCACAUGAAACCCAAGCACUGGAGCUCCUUGGCAUGAGGCACAAGCAAGCACUCAGGAGCAGUUCCAGAGCUGACUCCAGCACGUCUCCUUGUUUGCAGCUGCUCACCAAGAGGUGGUUAGUACAAAAACACUCAGAGGGGAAACACGUGUCCUCAGGGAAGCUGGAGAUGGAAAUAGUUCUCUUGUGAGGAUCACACACACAGGGACUGGAGGCUGCUUGGGGAGUUUCUCCAGAGACCAGAGACUUUUGCUGAAGAUUGUGGGGAGCUGAGCUUUCUCCUGCCUAGAGUUUUGUGGGGAAAACAAAAAGCAGUGUCAGAUGUGGAGUUCUUACAGAGGAUAAUAUCCUUACACAUCUUCAUUUCCCCAGGCUAAGAGAGGACUGCUUUUCCAAAACAUGGAUAAGCCAGCUAUGCUACUGUACCAGUUCAGUUGUUUCCAGCUAUAGGCAGAGAUCCAGAGGCAUUCUGGAUCCAUAAGGUGCAUUCUUGAUUCCAAAAGAAGGAGUCUUUCCCUUUAAGCCUGCUUAUUUCUUCAAUCUUAAAACAACUAACCUGAAAUACUCUUAUUUCUUUUAAGCUCUGCUUCUCAAUUUGCUUUUGAAUUGCUUUCAUCUAGAGUGUGAAAUUCCAAAUGACUGCAAAAAAAGCUGUCUGAGGAAUAUUCUUGGCAGUCCUGCUAGCAGAGAGUACAGGAAACCUCACAAGAGAGUUGGUUCCAGCAGCGCUGCCAUCCACGUUUCACAGCUGCAGGGACAUUCAGAGCAAAUCCAAACACUGGCUUUCCCUUCAGCAGAGCCACAGUUACCCAGGACACAUCCCUGCAAAUGUCCAGGGCCAGGCUGGAUGGGGAUUGGAGCCACCUGGUGCAGUGGAAGGUGUCCCUGCCCAUGGCAAGGGGUGGCUGGAUGGCCUGUAAGGUCUCUUCCAACCCAAACUGUUCCGUGCUCCUGUGAAAACACUUGCAGGGGCCCCUUGAGCUGCUCAGCAGCUCUGCAUGGGUACAGCGGCCUCAUCUGUGCAUGAAACACAUUUUCUGUUACUGGUGCAAGCUCUUGAAUAUCCCCUGAUCUGCAAUGUCCUUGAGAUGGAAGGGGCCCUCAGCACCCCAUUCUGGGCCGGAGAUUCUCCCUCUGGAGGAGAUGCCAUGGAGGAGCCCUGAGGCUGCCCUGGCAGGCCAGGCCUUGGUGGCUUUGCCUUGAAAACAGAGAGGCCUUCAUUGUGUCAGCCCCAAGAUCUGCAGGGAGUGAGAGCAGCUCAGAGCUGCGCUGCUGCCUGCACCCUGUGCUGUGUGUUCCUGGGAUGGUGCAGUGCUGUGUGCUCCUGGGAUGGUGCAGGGCCUCAGUCUAGCCUUGGCUAAGCCGUGCUGUGCAGUAUUCACAGGGAACCCCCGGUGAAGGAAGGAAUGAUGAGGAGGACUUCAUUUUAUUAAAGGUUAAUUCAUUAUUUCAUUAUACCAUAUUACACUAUGUUACAUCACAUCUAAACUGAAUCUGCCAAGCACUCAACUCUGCACACACUGCACAGAAUUUCAUGAUUGUCAGCCCACAGUCCUGACACACACACACACACACACACACCUGGCCCUGAUAGGCCAAGGAAGCAAAACCCCAUCACUGUGGGUAAACAGUCUCCAUAUUGCAUUCUACUUUGGCACAAACACAGGCACAGCAAAUGACAACAAUAAUUUUGGGAAGAAUUGUGCCUUGCUUUUCUGUGUGAAGAGAAAUGUGAGUGUGCAGUGCUGCAGCUUUGGGGCUCCUCAGUGUGCCCCCAAGGGCAAGGUAACACAGGCCCUGCAGCCAGGGCUGCACCCUCACACCUGUGCUGGCAUCGCUGCCCUGCUCUUGGGCCUUGAUCUCACCUGGCCUUCAGGUCUGCAAUAGGACCAGCACUUUGGAGGCCAGUUACUUUCAGUGUUAUUUUGCUUUUAAGCAGUACAGGUGUUAUUUGUUCAUGGGUUUCACUAAAUUUUCUCAUUUCUCUACUGGAAAUGACAGAUUUUUUUUCUGAUCCUGGCAACUGCAAUAACCACAUAACCCUGAACCUGCUAUUUAACCCACUGAUGUUGAUUUAGGUGAAACCAUCAAACAGGUCUCAUACAGUUUAAAAAAAUACCAUUUAUAGCAGUGUGUUUGUGAAUACUGUGAACAGUGAGGUGCGACAGGAAAGACUUCAUCAGGAAUUUUUAUGCAGGACUCUGACUUAGCAUUUUCUAUCAUAUAAUAUUGGAAUAAUACAACUUUCUUGAGGAAGAUUAAUUGCUGAGUAGAAUUUCAGAAUGGACUAAAACUGGAAUAAAAGUCAACUAAUAUGCUUCUGACA